rnacentral:rRNA from 1 species
CCUACGGGUGGCAGCAGUGAGGAAUAUUGGUCAAUGGGCGGGAGCCUGAACCAGCCAAGUCGCGUGAGGGAAGACGGUCCUAUGGAUUGUAAACCUCUUUAGGCGGGGAGCAAUGCCGGGCACGCGUGCCCGGAGGGAGAGUACCCGCAGAAUAAGCAUCGGCUAACUCCGUGCCACCAGCCGCGGUAAUACGGAGGAUGCGAGCGUUAUCCGGAUUUAUUGGGUUAAAAGGGUGCGUAGGCGGAUUUUUAAGUCAGCGGUAAAAUGUCCGGGCUCAACCCGGGCCGGCCGUUGAAACGGGGGAGCUUGAGUGGGCGAGAGGUAUGCGGAAUGCGUGGUGUAGCGGUGAAAUGCAUAGAUAUCACGCAGAACUCCGAUUGCGAAGGCAGCAUACCGGCGCCCGACUGACGCUGAGGCACGAAAGCGUGGGGAUCGAACAGGAUUAGAUACCCGAGUAGUC